rnacentral:lncRNA from 1 species
CUGGGUUGUCAUUCUUGACCAGGCCAAAAGCUGAGUCCUAAGUGUAAAUGUUACCUUCUCUCCUCCCUCUGGGAUUUCAGAUUUGCAAUGGAGCUUCAGGCCCAAAUGUGGACACACUUAUGGACAACGUUCCACAAAUGGAGGGACACCAUCCUCUUCCUCCGCUGCAGCAUUAGGGGCCUGCUGUCCCAGAAGAACCCUGUGAGAUGUAAGGGGCAGAGCCACCAGCUCCAUGAGGAGUGGCGCAUGACGGCCACGCGCCUCGCCCUCCACCUCUGCCCGGCUCCCUGCCUGGCAGCCUGUCCCCAAGGGCUUCCCAGAGGACCCUUCAGCCACCAGCAGUCCGAGGAGCCCAGGGGCUCGUGCAUCCCCGGGAAGCUCUGUGUGGGAGCCCAGCUGGGUCAGCGCCCUGAGCAUGGAUCUGACACAGCGGCCGUGAGCCUUUCCCCCUCCGCCCCCCGCAUGGUCGCAGCCCACAGCGAUGCUGGAAAGCAGUGGCUGCUCUCGCCAGGGCCCUCCUGCUCCAGCCGAGAAAGAUGCUGCUCAUUUAAGGUGAUUGAGCACCAAGGCAACCUUCUGCACUCUUCCAUGACAUCCAGCAAAUAAAUAUCAUCAGAACCCAAGAGCCCUCCUGGGUGAGAACUGCAUUCACAACCGGCAACAGGACCAGAUGUUUGUUUGUUACUUUGUUUUAUUAUUUUGCACGUAUUUAUUUAUUUUAUUCUAAAGUUAAAAUAAAAUUUCAAAACACAUCUGUGGAUAUCAUUUGAGAGAGUUCCAGUGUUUGACUUCCAGUUUCCUCUAUCUCGUGUUCUGGGCUCGUCCUGGGUGGGCUGUGUGUCUGGGGUUGCAUCCUGCUUCUGCAUCUUGUCGUCUUCUAUUGUUUCUUUUUCUUUUUUUUUUAAAAUAAAAGGAGGAAAAUAUUAACAGACAGUCGACAUUUUACAAAAUAACAAAGGAACAGUACAGACAGUACAGAGUUACAAACAGAGUGGUAGGGAAUUAACAAUGCUUGU